UUUCCCCCUUCCCGCAUCGUAACUGCUCAGUCUAACCCUGUUCGUCGCGCCGCUUUCGAGUCCGUUGGCAUCACCGUCCUUUCUUCCAACAACGACUUGUGUUGAAAUUGAAGUCACUUUUAACUAAGAACAAGCUUUUGGUUUAAGUUGAUGCUGGAAUCAAGUUGAAAGAUCUCCAGGUAACAGCUUCUGCAUCACAUAUGUUUCAGCUAGUCUAUACCCUCCAGAUGCCAUGCCUUGUUUGAAUGAUUGAAUGAAAAGUGAGAAGAAAGCUGGGGAGAAUUUGAAUAUAUAUAGACGUAUAGGCUUGGGAAGAAGGAAAGAAAAUUCGUCUCAUAACGUCUAGUUUGACUGACUUUCACUUGUUUAUUUCUUUUUUUCUUAUUUCAAAAAGUAUGGGUGCUUCCUCGUUAUGUAUGGGUUUAACAAGUCCACAUAACACAAUUAGCACAUUUUCCUAUUUUUUAAUAUUUUUAUUAUAUUACUUUUAGUGCUAGCAGUAGGAAGAACUAUUUUUUAAUGUUUUUAUUAUAUUACUUUUAGUGCUAGCAGUAGGAAGAAUAUGUCACUGCAAACAAACGUAUGCCGACGUAUGCCGUG